rnacentral:rRNA from 1 species
GUGAGGAAUAUUGGUCAAUGGGCGGUAGCCUGAACCAGCCAAGUAGCGUGAAGGAUGAAGGUUCUAUGGAUUGUAAACUUCUUUUAUAAAGGAAUAAAGUGAGGCACGUGUGCCUUUUUGUAUGUACUUUAUGAAUAAGGAUCGGCUAACUCCGUGCCAGCAGCCGCGGUAAUACGGAGGAUCCGAGCGUUAUCCGGAUUUAUUGGGUUUAAAGGGAGCGUAGAUGGAUGUUUAAGUCAGUUGUGAAAGUUUGCGGCUCAACCGUAAAAUUGCAGUUGAUACUGGAUAUCUUGAGUGCAGUUGAGGCAGGCGGAAUUCGUGGUGUAGCGGUGAAAUGCUUAGAUAUCACGAAGAACUCCGAUUGCGAAGGCAGCCUGCUAAGCUGCAACUGACAUUGAGGCUCGAAAGUGUGGGUAUCAAACAGG